rnacentral:lncRNA from 1 species
AUGCCUGAGAAGGUCAAGCAGACAGAAACUAAAACAACAGAAGUUGGGUUAAUAAAGGCCAAACCGAAAGUUAAGGAGGAGAAAGCACUUCAGACUGUAACUAAAUCGGAAAAGAAAGAUCAAUAUGCAUUCUGUCGCUAUGUGAUUGACAUGUUUGCGCAAGGGGAUUUUUAUCCAGGACAUAAGGGAAUGGUAUCACCUCGUCUUCUUCUAGAACAUAGUCCAAGAAAGAAAACAGCAGCUAUUGAAGAAGAGAAGUCUAUUGUGGUAGCUAAGGAAGUGAAAAAAAGAAAGGAUGAAAAGAAAAGGACUGAUAUAAAGAGGUCUGUUACUGAAACUAAGAAGAAAGAAAAAGAAGGAAAAAAAGAGAAAGCUCAUGAGAAGACAGCUGUCCCUGAAAUUAAAAAAGCAGAUAAAAAAGAAGCUGCUGUGUCCAAAGAACUCAAAAAGCCAGCAAAAUACCCUGCAGCUAAUCCAUCCACCAAAAAAGCAGUAAUACCAGAAACACACAGGAAAGAAAAAAUGGUGGAUACUGCAUCUGUGGAAACUCUGAAGUCAAAAGUACCUGAAAAGAAGGAAGAAAAAGCAAUGAAGGCAGGAGAGCAAGAUAAACCAAAGAUGAAACAAGCAAAUCCUGGAAAAGACAAAGAAUUGAAAUCUCCAGCUGCUACAAAAGAUAAAGAACACACUAAAGAAAAGGAAGGAAAGAAUCCUGCAGAUUUAAAAGAUAAAGAGUCUCUGAAAGGAAAAAAUCCCAAGAAUCCAGAGGGGUCAAAGGAUAAAGAGACUGGUAAAAGAAAAGAUGUGAGGCCUUCAGCAGUCUUAAAGGAAAAGGGAAAAGAAAUGAAGGUUUCAACUACAACUAAGGAGAAAGCUGCGGUGAAAAAGGAAGGGGAGAAGAAAGGUACUUCAGAAAAAACUCAUGAACACAAACCUGCACAUAUUAAACAUGAAAAAGCUAUCCCUCAGAUGAAGCCAGGUAUGUUUGGUAAUAUAAUUUCCAGUUACUCCAGGCUCCGUUCAAUAAGGUUUUGUUUGGUCUGCAAAAUUGGGAGACUUCCUUGA